rnacentral:rRNA from 1 species
GACGAACGCUGGCGGCGUGCUUAACACAUGCAAGUCGAACGGAAAGGCCCUGCUUUUGUGGGGUGCUCGAGUGGCGAACGGGUGAGUAACACGUGAGUAACCUGCCCUUGACUUUGGGAUAACUUCAGGAAACUGGGGCUAAUACCGGAUAGGAGCUCCUGCUGCAUGGUGGGGGUUGGAAAGUUUCGGCGGUUGGGGAUGGACGCGCGGCUUAUCAGCUUGUUGGUGGGGUAGUGGCUUACCAAGGCUUUGACGGGUAGCCGGCCUGAGAGGGUGACCGGCCACAUGGGGACUGAGAUACGGCCCAGUCUCCAACGGGAGGCAGCAGUGGGGAAUAUUGCACAAUGGGCGGAAGCCUGAUGCAGCAACGCCGCGGGCGGGAUGACGGCCUUCGGGUUGUAAACCGCUUUCGCCUGUGACGAAGCGGGAGUGACGGUAAUGGGUAAAGAAGCACCGGCUAACUACGUG